UUCCCCCUGGGAAACGCCAGUGUCUCCUGUUUCCAGAAGCAGCUUACUGAAAAGUGCAUCUCAGAGAGAGUCACCCUUAGCCAGGGCUGUCGUGCACCUGUAACCAAACAGGAACUCUUCUUCUGGUGUGAAUGUAAAAUGGCACAAUCAACUUAUGUGCCAACCGGGUAAAAAUACAUAAAUAUAUAUCGAUUGACCCCAUAUAAAUUCUGGCUUUCUUUUUCUUUUCUCAAUUGCUUCUUCUCUUUUGUUGAUUUAACACGACGGUUGGAUUAUUGGGUUCUGUUUGAAGAUUAAGGCCGUGUUUGGUCGAGAUUUUUUUACUUACUGUUUCUUAUCUAGAUUUGUCUCAAAUUUGGUGUCUGACCAAACGAGGUGUUGCGGACUCUUACUACAUGUACAUCCAAUCGUGGUAGUCUUUUGAAUGAUUCGAAAAAGAAAAAAAAAAAGGCCUCCCAUUCAUGAUCCUGUAAAUGGGUUUCUUUCCUCUUUGCAUAUAAAUAUAUAUAUAUAUAUAUAUAAUGUGUGAGUUUAGAGAUCGGAGUGGAUAGAAGAAUGUAUGAUAUUUGGACUUGGGUAUGUUUAGUCUUUCUGGUUUUUCACUGUUGCGAACGUGUAUGAAACU
rnacentral:lncRNA from 1 species